rnacentral:rRNA from 1 species
CCUACGGGGAGCUGCAGUCGAGAAUCAUUCACAAUGGGGGAAACCCUGAUGGUGCGACGCCGCGUGGGGGAAUGAAGGUCUUCGGAUUGUAAACCCCUGUCAUGUGGGAGCAAAUUAAAAAGAUAGUACCACAAGAGGAAGAGACGGCUAACUCUGUGCCAGCAGCCGCGGUAAUACAGAGGUCUCAAGCGUUGUUCGGAAUCACUGGGCGUAAGGCGUGCGUAGGCUGUUUCGUAAGUCGUGUGUGAAAGGCGCGGGCUCAACCCGCGGACGGCACAUGAUACUGCGAGACUAGAGUAAUGGAGGGGGAACCGGAAUUCUCGGUGUAGCAGUGAAAUGCGUAGAUAUCGAGAGGAACACUCGUGGCGAAGGCGGGUUCCUGGACAUUAACUGACGCUGAGGCACGAAGGCCAGGGGAGCGAAAGGGAUUAGAUACCCCUGUAGUC